rnacentral:misc_RNA from 1 species
GUCGCGCGUCACUUCGAUAGCGUUCGCACCAGGUAAUCUAUAGCGGGAAUAAAGUUCAGCCGUGAAUUUCUUCUGAAUUUAUCGUUUUCCAUCGGUCAAUAAUUUCUCACUGUUAUCCAGAGAUCUUGAAAAUUGUGCGAAUUUGAGAGAACACUCGACGAAAAGACGUGCGGAAUCAAAUUUUGUAAAGAGCAACAAAUUAAUGAAAAUUGUAUAAAUCCAGUUUCUAUCUAUAAAAUAUUGUGAAGCAAGAUAGACAGAACAAGUUACGCAAUAUUCAAUACGAUUUCAUCGAAUAAUUUUUUAAUAAUACAAGAUUCAAACUACCUUUCUCGAUUAUAUCGGUGAUACGGCCGAUACAGCGGAACCGGAAGAGUAUCAUUUUUCCGGUGCAAACAGUUCUCCACUGUUCUCCAGUGUCUUUCUCGAUACAGUCGGCGCUAUUACAGUGCGGUUUAAAUAUAGAUAAGAACGCGUGUUCUCAUGACGUAAAUUGCGCCGUUCUUUUUAUCCCAAUUCAACGUGCCACCGAGAUCGAAACGCUGUCGAAGAUUUUUCGCAUCAUGAAAAAACUCGUGUUACGAAUUCUUCUUGCAUCUUGUGUUCUAGAAUUAACGAAAGCCGAUAGCAGCAAAUUGUCAAAACCAGAAUACAACUAUAAUGGUGCCAAAAGAUCGUAUUGCCCCGCGAAUGCUUAUAUCGGAAAUCAACCAGUUAAUCGAUAUAACAGUUCUUUGCGAUUGAGACAACUAAGAGCUGAGAUGGUUCGCGUAGCAGCAGUUCAAGGGCCAGCGCUCGAUGGCUACAUCGUUACUUCAGAUGACGAGCAUCAAAGCGAAACCGUGGAUCCACGUGAUAUGAGAAGAGAAUUUCUUACUGGAUUUUAUGGAAGCGCUGGGGAAGCUUUAGUCACUAUAGACAAAGCAAUACUUUGGACUGAUGGCCGAUAUCAUAUUCAAGCGGAUCAUCAGCUGGAUUGCAAUUGGAGUUUAAUGAAGCAAGGUGAACUUGACGUACCAACGAUAACACAAUGGUUAAUACAUGAGUUUCGAAAUCAAUCGGAAGUACGUAUCGGUGCUAAUCCAAGAUUAAUAUCCGCUUUUAUAUGGGAAAUAUGGGAAAACGAAUUAGCGAAUUCACCUAUAAGAUUGGUCGCAGUCCAUAACGACCUGGUGGACUUGAUCUGGCAGGUGGGCCGACCUGAAUACAAUCCACAUGCGGCAUAUCCGUUGCCGGAUCAGUACUCUGGUAAACCAUGGCAAGAGAAAAUUCGGAAUGUUCGGCUGGAAAUGGAACUUUCAUCGGCCGAUGCGCUUGUCGUUACCGCUUUAGACGAGAUAGCAUGGCUCUUCAAUAUUCGUGGCUACGACCUGCCGCACACACCCGUCUUAAGAGCCUAUGCGAUCGUCACUCAUGGAUUCCUGCACCUUUAUACACCACAUCACAAGAUCCUACGAUCCGUCGACAUACACCUCAAGAGUGAUUCUUGCUUCCACGCGGACUGCGUCAAAUGGCACAAUUACACGGCUAUUUGGUAUGAUUUAAAAACCAUGUCUCAAGCUUGGAACACAGUGUGGCUUCCAUCGCCUUAUGGAUAUACAUUGGGUGCGUCUAAAGAAAUAUACAAUUCUAUUCCACCAGAGAAGAGAUUGGCUAAGCCCUCGCCUGUAAUCGAUCUGCGAGCGGAAAAAAACAAAGUCGAAAUAGCAGGUAUGAGAAGAUCUCAUCUGAGAGAUGCGGUAGCUAUGUGCGAUUUUCUAGCUUACAUGGAAGAACAAUAUGAAUUGGACUCUGAAGGAUGGGACGAGAUGCAAGUGGCGAGAGUGGCCAAUGAAUUUCGUUACGAACAAGAUAAUAAUAAGGGUAUCGCUUUCCCGACAAUCGUGGGAUAUGGUUCGCACGGUGCUUUACCGCAUUAUGAACCAAUUAACUUAACCAAUGUUAAAAUCGGAACCACGUCCACGUUAGUGGUUGAUUCCGGAGGACAAUACUUGGAUGGUACCACUGACAUAACAAGGACUGUACAUUUUGGAGUACCGACCGAUGAGCAGAAAAAAGCUUAUACAAGAGUGUUGAUCGGUUCGAUCGAAUUAUCGUCUUUGAUCUUCCCUAAUGAUUUAACGACAGAUCAAUUGGACGCUAUUGCACGGAGACCGUUGUGGAGUACCGGUUACAAUUAUAUGCAUGGGACUGGUCAUGGAAUCGGUCAUUUCUCUUCAGUUCAUGAAUCACCUAUCCAUGUAGCAUAUUAUGGAUGCAAAAAUUCAGUAACAGGAUGUUCUCUUAAAUUGAAACCAGGAUUCUUCCUAUCAAAUGAACCGGGAUAUUAUAAAGAAGGCGAUUUUGGAAUUCGUUUGGAAAAUAUACUUGAAGUGAUUCCGGCUAGCAAAUUGAUUCAUAAUGGGCAAAAAUUUCUCAAAUUCAGAGAUAUUACUCUGGUUCCUUAUGAACCGAAACUUAUUGACAUCAAUAUGUUAACUCCAUUGCACCGACGUUGGUUAAAUAACUAUAAUAAACGUAUACGGGAAGAAGUUGGUGCAGAAUUGAAAAAAAAAUUAAAAAUGAAAGCAUUUUACUGGAUGAUGGAGAAGACUAUGACCAUUCCAAAAACAAGUUUAGAUAUCCAGGACUUUUUUCCUGAUUAUUCUCACUCGAUGCCGUCUAACCACAAGCAAUUCCACAUCUUGAUUGUGAUUGUUGCAAUUUAUCAUAUCAUAGCAAAUUGCAUAAGAAUGUAAUUAAUGUAAUUAAUUUAGAGAAUAUAUAUAUUACUUUGGACUGAUGACCGAUGUCAUAUUCAAGCGGACCAUCAAUUGGAUUGCAAUUGAAGUUUAAUGAAGCAAGAUGAACUUGAUGUAUCAAUGAUUCCAGGUAUCAUGAUAGAAUGAUUAAUACAUCAAUUUUCGAAAUCGAUCAGGAGUACGUAUCGGUAUUAAUCCAAGACUAAUAUUCACUUUUAUGUGAGAAAUAUGAGAAAACGAAGUAGGUAGUGACUUUUUAGAUAAGCCUAUUUUUUGUUAAACUAUAAUGUUUAUACUAUAUUUCUUCUCAUUCAAUAUUUAAUUCAGAUUAUUUAGAUAAUCAGAUUGCAUAAGAAUGUAAUUAAUAUAAUU